GGCGAACGCUGGCGGCGUGCUUAACACAUGCAAGUCGAACGGAAAGGCCCUGCUUUUGUGGGGUGCUCGAGUGGCGAACGGGUGAGUAACACGUGAGUAACCUGCCCUUGACUUUGGGAUAACUUCAGGAAACUGGGGCUAAUACCGGAUAGGAGCUCCUGCUGCAUGGUGGGGGUUGGAAAGUUUCGGCGGUUGGGGAUGGACUCGCGGCUUAUCAGCUUGUUGGUGGGGUAGUGGCUUACCAAGGCUUUGACGGGUAGCCGGCCGGAGAGGGUGACCGGCCACAUUGGGACUGAGAUACGGCCCAGACUCCUACGGGGGGCAGCAGGGGGGAAUAUUGCACAAUGGGCGGAAGCCUGAUGCAGCAACGCCGCGUGCGGGAUGACGGCCUUCGGUUUGUAAACAGCUUUCGCCUGUGACGAAGCGUGAGUGACGGUAAUGGGUAAAGAAGCACCGGCUAACUACGUG
rnacentral:rRNA from 1 species